AUCCUAGGGCAUAUGAUAAUGGACUUUGUAAGGAUAAAAGAUCAUGUGAUGUUGAGGAGUUAAUGUAUUCACAUGUUUGGCCUCAAAACUUUAAUCAAAACAAUAAUCUUGUGAGACAAAUGAAAAGCCAAUAGAUCAUAAGAGUUGUUGAAUGUAACACAAAAGUAUAUAAAUUAUCAUAGUGGAAUGUUUAUUUGUAGGAUAAAACAGAAAAGAAGCAAGGUACACUGAUAAUUUUAAGCCUAUCAUCACAUGUAAAUUAUUUUCAUCAUCUUUAGAGAAAAUUACUCGAGAUAUGUAGAGAUAAAAAGUGUAAUUUUAAAAUUUUUUUUGGAGAAAACAGGUGAGCAGAAUAGAUGGAAAAAGGUUAAUCAACAUAUUUUUGGAUCCUAUAGUUAAAAACAAGGGACAGAAGCUUCAAUUUAUGACUAUUCUAAUCCUAGAUAGAGAUAAUAGUCAAACAAAGAUGAGACUAACAGACUGAUUUGUUUAGCAAAAUAGAUGGAAAAAGGUUAAUUGUAUUAACUUCUUUAACACUUAUAUAGUUGGUACUUAAAUGAUUCUCAGGAUGUCAAAUAAGUCUUUUGUACAUUUAUUGGGAUGAAAGAUAUGUUAGUAGUGCUAAUUUUUUUUUAAAAAAAUAAUCAUUCUGUCUGAGCCAGCAAGGUGCGAACCUCGACUAAUUUCACAGUAUAUUAGUUGUGUUAUUUUUCUUCAUUCUAAUUAAAGACGUGAGAUUAGUACUCCCUCUCUAUUUUUAGGUUGGCUUACUGAUAUUUCUCUUGCUCGUCCAAGUUACUGGCGACUGGGUUUGGUCUCAUCUUUUAUAAUCAUGGACACUGGAAGCAAGGAGAACUUAGGUACGUGAUUUUGUAGAUAUAUGAACCUCUAGAUACAAAGUCUCUAUACCAUUUGUUAACUUUAGAUACAAUGUCUUAAUCUUUGAUGAGAAGAUGGAUUUCUUUGAGAAGCCACUUUUCUGAUUAUCAGUAUAUUCAAAAAUCAGAAGAAAUGAGGAUGAAAAAUACGUGCAAGCAUUCACAAAUUAUCCAGAUAUGCCAAGGUUCAAGUGCAUACAAAAAAAGCAAAAAUCAGAUUUGUUGGUAUCUACAUCACAAGGUACCGAAUCAGCAUGUUUGCCAAUAAAUCUACCUCUGCCAAUUCAGCAUGCACCUCAACCACCUCAACUAGUUUACUCAACAUCCCAUCUAACUUCUAUAGAUCAGGACACGCCACAUCCGAGUCCGACAAUUUGGCUUGAAUCACAACUAUCCCAAUCAGUUCACUUGACAUCAUAUCCAUCUCUGGUUGGUCGAGACUCAUCACAACCAUCUCCUUCAGUUCACUUUACAUCAUAUCCGGGUCUAACAAAUAGGAUUUGUCACAGUCAUCUAGAUCAAUUCAUUCUACAUUACAUUUGGAUCCAACAAAUGAGGAGUCAUCAUAAGCAGCUCCCACAAAUCAGACUGUACCCAAAAAAUAUUCUAGACGUGAAUCGAAUACGCAUUGGGUCAUAAACGCAACAGAUUCAAGAAAUAAUGUCAAGAAAAUCAAAGUAAAAGCUAAGGAGGUCUGAAUUUAACAGGUGAAGAAUGUAUCGUGGUUAAGUUUGAUGUUUAUGAUGAACCAUUCGGUGAAUCAAGCAGUCUUCUUUCACGCUUUUAUGGAAUUUUAGCUUGUGAUUUCUCUGUAUUUCCAAUCAACUUUGAAAAAUGGUCGAAUUUACGUGUGACAUACUUCAAUCAAGUCUUCGAUCAUAUUAUAAAGGUAUAAGCUCUAAAUUCUAACGACUAUACCACUUCUUAUUACUUUUAGAGGCUGACAACUAUUUCUUUAUUUUUAUUUUUGAAUUUUAUGUUUGCAAGUAAUAGAAAAGCUAACCAUUAUUUUUAUUUUGAAGCUCAAAUUCUUCUUUGACACAGUCGAAACAGUUGCUCGACGACAUAUUUCUUUAUCUUUUGGAAAAAAGUAGGCUGCAAAUAAGAUUAACAUGUGGGAUGAAGUUGAUGAUCCACUUAAAAGUAAAGCUCAGAUUAUGGAUAAGGUGUCGGACGGGAUCCCACCAGAUCAAUGGAUUUCUUUUAUUGAAUAUAAUUUUAAAGAAUCAACAAAGGUAUUUCUGUAAAUGUAUUUCUUUAUAGUUGUAUAAUUAUUUUUUUCUAAUUGACGUUAAAAUAUAUUUUUAUAAGAAAAUGCGUAAAAGAAACCAUGAAAUUCGAUAGAAACAGACAAUUCCUCACACUGGUGGCUCCAAAACCAAUGCUAUAAGAAGGUUGUAAUGGUGAGUGAAUUAACCUCGAAUGUAUAUUUUUAAAUAUUAAAUUAUUUUGAUUAUAUUUUUUAAUUUAUAGAUGACCGAGACUGGACAGUGGCCUAGACGAUCACAAAUAUACAUUGCUACUCAUAAGAAUCAAGAUGGAUUAUAUGUUAAUGAAACGGCAAAAGAAAUAUGUGAAAAAAUUGAGUUAGCUUUGAGCCAAAGCACCAUGAUGAGUCUCAAGUUUCGCCAAAUGAUGCCAUUGAUAAGGUGAUAGGGAAAGCACACUCUAGAAGGGUGAGAUGUUUGGGAUUAGGAGUUGUUCCUAGUAGAGUUUUUCAACAAGUUAGACCUCGUUUCGGUGGUACAAGUGCAUCAUGUAGUGGAGGUUCUUGUUCAUUCCAAUGUCGAGAAAACUACAAUCAAAUGAUAAAUUCCCAGAAUCAAAUACUGAGUUCUUUGAAGGCAUAUAUGAUAAUGAAAGAAGGAACGAUGCCAGAACAAUUUGUGGGGCUCUUUGAUUCUCCUUCAAUGGUUUCUCCCACAACACCAAUUGAUGCAGCCAGUGGACCUAUUUCGCCCGUGGAUGCAAGGAGACCACGUGAUAAUUGUGAUCCUUAUGAUAGUCGUUGAUUUCAUUGCAAAUUGUCUUGGAUAUUCAAGUAUGUCUUAGAUGUAUUUGUGUAUGUGGUUGGAGUGAAUCUCAAAACACUGAAGCUUUUGUGUUUAAAUUUGAUUUUGAAGAUACUUAAAAAGUAAAGUCUGUCAGUCUGGAUGAAAGUUUGGAUCUUCAUCAGAAUUAUUCAUUUGAAGGGUUCAA